AUGUCAAGGAAACAAUGGUCAUCGAUCACCACGCAUCCAGACUGCGACAUUUGCCCUGCCAAAGAGUCUGCCAAUCACAUUGUUCUGCACUGCUACCCGACGUUUGUUAUCUGGGACGCACUCCAUGUAAGGAACUUAGCCACCGGCUCUGCGGACCUCAUCACUUUCAUGCAAAGAGCUCAGCUGACUUGGGGCACCUCAAACAAAGUACACAUUCUUUUUGCGGCGGCUGCUGUCACACUUUGGCACGCUAGAAAUGAUCGAGUGUUCAAUGGUAAACGAUGCUCUCCCACUUAUCUCAGGCAAUAUGCGUCGCAGCUCCUCAAGACAUGGCAGCACUCGGCCAAAAGGUAG
rnacentral:rRNA from 1 species